rnacentral:rRNA from 1 species
CCUACGGGAGGCAGCAGUGAGGAAUAUUGGUCAAUGGACGAGAGUCUGAACCAGCCAAGUAGCGUGAAGGAUGACUGCCCUAUGGGUUGUAAACUUCUUUUAUAUGGGAAUAAAAUGUUCCACGUGUGGGAUUUUGUAUGUACCAUAUGAAUAAGGAUCGGCUAACUCCGUGCCAGCAGCCGCGGUAAUACGGAGGAUCCGAGCGUUAUCUGGAUUUAUUGGGUUUAAAGGGAGCGUAGGUGGAUUGUUAAGUCAGUUGUGAAAGUUUGCGGCUCAACCGUAAAAUUGCAGUUGAAACUGGCAGUCUUGAGUACAGUAGAGGUGGGCGGAAGUCGUGGUGUAGCGGUGAAAUGCUUAGAUAUCACGAAGAACUCCGAUUGCGAAGGCAGUUCACUGGACUGCAACUGACACUGAGGCUCGAAAGUGUGGGUAUCAAACAGGAUUAGAUACCCCUGUAGUC